GGCGGCGUAGCUCAGUUGGCUAGAGCAUACGGUUCAUACCCGUAGUGUCACUGGUUCAAAUCCAGUCGCCGCCACCA
rnacentral:tRNA from 1 species